rnacentral:rRNA from 1 species
CAAGGAAUUUUCCCCAAUGGGCGCAAGCCUGAGGGAGCAACGCCGCGUGCAGGACGACGGCCUUCGGGUUGUAAACUGCUUUUGCGUGGGACGAUAACGACGGUACCACGCGAAUCAGCCCCGGCUAACUCUGUGCCAGCAGCCGCGGUAAGACGGAGGGCGCUAGCGUUGUUCGGAAUCACUGGGCGUAAAGGGCGCGUAGGCGGCUGUUUAAGUCGAGGGUGAAAGCCCGGGGCUCAACCCCGGAACGGCCUUCGAGACUGGGCAGCUCGAGACCGGAAGAGGAGGGUGGAAUACCCAGUGUAGAGGUGAAAUUCGUAGAUAUUGGGUGGAACACCAGUGGCGAAAGCGGCUCUCUGGUCCGGAUCUGACGCUGAGGCGCGAAAGCGUGGGGAGCAAACAGGAUUAGAUACCCCCGUAGUCC